rnacentral:lncRNA from 1 species
GGGGGGGGGGGAGGUUAUAUAAAUCAUCUCAGGUUGUGAUUGCUUAAUGUUUUGACUCAUUCCAAACACCUUAUGGUACUAUUAUUAUCAUGGUUUAUAGGCCAAUUUUUUUUAAGUGCAACAACAAUGCAAGUUUCUAGUGCUUUCCCUUCUACUGAGAAAUGUGGUCCUGGAACUCAAAUUAAGAAUGAGAAUAUUUGGUGAAGAAUCUGUUUUCUAGGUAACUAAAGUUUUCAAAGUUUUAUAUGUCGAAAUAUGUUACACUUGCUUAAGGUAUCUUUGGGCUAAAAUUAAAAACCCAAUCUUCCCGCAUAUUCCAAACAGUAAUACCCGAAACCUAAAUUUCAACAAAAGAAACAUCCUCUAAAUUGCCCAUCUGGAAGAAAGUACGUUUUCUGUACUUUGUAGCUUUGUAUGUAUGUUAGAAAACACCUCUGUGGUAUUCAAUUAAGGGGGGGGGCAGUGGGGAGAAAAAGAAAAGAAAAAGCAAGACUUACCCAAGGUAUCAGAUGGCACUAUACACAUGAAUUGAAAGUGCAUUUGUAUUACUUCAAAAGUUCAUUUUAGGCACUGCUGAAUAACCAAUGAAAAUAGGUAGUUUCAAGUUUUCCCCUUUAAAUUUUAACCCCUGUCCCAACAUCAUCCCAGAGACAUACACACACUCUCUGAAGUUGUCAUGAUCAAAUAUAGGUGACGUUUAUUUAUUUUUUUAAAAAAAACUCUCCCUGGCUGGUAAUGGGAGGAAAAUUAGAAUACCAUUUUGGUAAUGGCUUUUGCAAGUUAAAAGAAUUGGUUUUAUAAAUGCUUCGGCACAUCCAUUAAGUUUGAUUGCCAGUUCUGAAUAUCAAUAAAUAUUUUAAGACAGAAUAUGUAAGAAAAAAGUGCUUAAAAUCUUUCAGUGACCAAAAGACACAUUAGAGAAAAGGUUCAUUUUACAGUUCCUUUGAGAUAUUUAACUCUUGCUUUGUUUGGAGGUGGCCACUACUUAAAUAGCCCUUUUUAUUGGUAGUAGUGAUGAACCUGUCAGAUCCUAAUUGCCACCUUAUGUCUCUGGUCUAUGAAUCAUCCAGUAGGUGGUGCUGAAGUUCCAUACCUCAGAUUUCUUCAGAAGUCAAAUGAUUCCCCUGUCAAGGCAGGAGGAACAUCAUUUAUGAAUUAUUAGUUCUGAACACAAGAAGCCUUCAGACCAAAGUCUUUGUUAUGCCAUCUAGACGAUUUCGUUUUCAAUAUUUACUAUAACUUAAGCUGGUUUAGCCAUUUGUUUAUGCUACCAGAUUAAAAGCAAAGAGAAAGGUUUCAGAGGAAAAGCCAGUUGGCAGUGCCAAAACUGUCUGCAGAAGAAGAAAAUAUUCUUGAACAAACCUAUACAAGUUUUAAGAAUGAGGAAUUUAAACUAUCCUUUUUACACAUUCUAAUUCACUCAAGA